GAUGAAUGCUGGCGGCGUGCCUAAUACAUGCAAGUCGAGCGAACAGAUGAGGAGCUUGCUCCUCUGACGUUAGCGGCGGACGGGUGAGUAACACGUGGAUAACCUACCUAUAAGACUGGGAUAACUUCGGGAAACCGGAGCUAAUACCGGAUAAUAUAUUGAACCGCAUGGUUCAAUAGUGAAAGACGGUUUUGCUGUCACUUAUAGAUGGAUCCGCGCCGCAUUAGCUAGUUGGUAAGGUAACGGCUUACCAAGGCAACGAUGCGUAGCCGACCUGAGAGGGUGAUCGGCCACACUGGAACUGAGACACGGUCCAGACUCCUACGGGAGGCAGCAGUAGGGAAUCUUCCGCAAUGGGCGAAAGCCUGACGGAGCAACGCCGCGUGAGUGAUGAAGGUCUUCGGAUCGUAAAACUCUGUUAUUAGGGAAGAACAAAUGUGUAAGUAACUAUGCACGUCUUGACUGUACCUAAUCAGAAAGCCACGGCUAACUACGUG
rnacentral:rRNA from 1 species